UUAGUCAAAAACAUGAAUAUAAACUGAUUUAAAUUUGUAUAAACAACUCUUUUUUCAUGAUAUCUUAAAUUGAUGCUUUCGAUUUAGAAAUUUAAAUUGUUUUAUUUAGAAAUUUAAGACCUAAAAUCUGUAUUUAUAAGGAAAUUCUCCCAGAUCUGCUGCCUCAUUUUGGCAUUUUUAAUAGGAUCCUGGAGUCCUGAAUCCUGGCCAGAGAAAAUCUUUAGCUUCAGGCAAUCUGCCCCAAACUUCUUGGUUGGUGUCAGUACAUACAUACACUUGGUCGAAUAUUUCAGCCAAUUCUGAAUAUAUUUUGCAAAUUUGAACCAUUGAUAAAUAUUGAAAAUCUAAUUUUGUCUUAAACAGUUUCAGGGUUUUUCCACAAUAAUGUAUAGAUUAUUUUUAUUUUGUUUAUUAAACAAAUUAAGCAAGACGAUUCUUAGAUAUGAUUUGAGCAUGGAGUGAAAUAGGUAGUAUCCGAUACAAUCCUGCAGAUACAUUAGUCCCUGCCUACACCUACAUCAGUGGAUGCCUAGUGUCCUGAACACUGCCUGUAGUGGCUGAGAGAGUUGGGACAGUGGGUAGUGUGUUGCUUCAUCACACAACACCCUGGUUCCGUUCCUGUCAUGGUCACUUGAGUCAUUUAGCUGCAUUAUUGUACAGGUCCCCACAUCUCCUGUCUUGUCAUCAGUAGAACUACAGGUCCACACGUCUCCUUUCUUGUAAUGAGUAGAACUACAGGUCCCCACGUCUCCUUUCUUGUAAUCAGUAGAACUACAGGUCCCCACGUCUCCUUUCUUGUAAUCAGUAGAACUACAGGUCCCCACAUCCCCUUUCUUGUAAUCAGUAGAACCACAGGUCCCCACGUCUCCUUUCUUGUAAUCAGUAGAACUACAGGUCCCCACAUCUCCUUUCUUGUCAUCAGUAGAACUACAGGUCCCCACGUCCCCUUUCUUGUAAUCAGUAGAACAGUAGAACUACAGGUCCCCACGUCUCCUUUCUUGUAAUCAGUAGAACUACAGGUCCCCACAUCUCCUUUCUUGUCAUCAGUAGAACUACAGGUCCCCACGUCCCCUUUCUUGUAAUCAGUAGAACAGUAGAACUACAGGUCCCCACAUCUCCUUUCUUGUAAUCAGUAGAACUACAGGUCCCCACGUCUCCUUUCUUGUAAUCAGUAGAACUACAGGUCCCCACAUCUCCUUUCUUGUCAUCAGUAGAACUACAGGUCCCCACAUCCCCUUUCUUGUAAUCAGUAGAACAGUAGAACUACAGGUCCCCACAUCUCCUUUCUUGUCAUCAGUAGAACUACAGGUCCCCACGUCCCCUUUCUUGUAAUCAGUAGAACAGUAGAACUACAGGUCCCCACAUCUCCUUUCUUGUAAUCAGUAGAACUACAGGUCCCCACGUCUCCUUUCUUGUAAUGAGUAGAACUACAGGUCCCCACAUCUCCUUUCUUGUCAUCAGUAGAACUACAGGUCCCCACGUCUCCUUUCUUGUAAUCAGUAGAACUACAGGUCCCCACAUCUCCUUUCUUGUCAUCAGUAGAACUACAGGUCCCCACAUCUCCUUUCUUGUAAUCAGUAGAACUACAGGUCCCCACGUCUCCUUUCUUGUCAUCAGUAGAACUACAGGUCCCCACAUCUCCUUUCUUGUAAUCAGUAGAACUACAGGUCCCCACGUCUCCUUUCUUGUAAUGAGUAGAACUACAGGUCCCCACAUCCCCUUUCUUGUAAUCAGUAGAACUACAGGUCCCCACAUCUCCUUUCUUGUAAUCAGUAGAACUACAGGUCCCCACGUCUCCUUUCUUGUCAUCAGUAGAACUACAGGUCCCCACAUCUCCUUUCUUGUAAUCAGUAGAACUACAGGUCCCCACGUCUCCUUUCUUGUAAUGAGUAGAACUACAGGUCCCCACGUCUCCUUUCUUGUCAUCAGUAGAACUACAGGUCCCCACAUCUCCUUUCUUGUAAUCAGUAGAACUACUGGUCCCCACGUCCCCUUUCUUGUAAUCAGUAGAACAGUAGAACUACAGGUCCCCACGUCUCCUUUCUUGUAAUCAGUAGAACUACAGGUCCCCACAUCUCCUUUCUUGUCAUCAGUAGAACUACAGGUCCCCACGUCCCCUUUCUUGUAAUCAGUAGAACAGUAGAACUACAGGUCCCCACAUCUCCUUUCUUGUAAUCAGUAGAACUACAGGUCCCCACGUCUCCUUUCUUGUGAUCAGUAGAACUACAGGUCCCCACGUCUCCUUUCUUGUAAUCAGUAGAACCACAGGUCCCCACAUCCCCUUUCUUGUAAUCAGUAGAACUACAAGAGUGAGGUCACUGUUUAUAGUUACAUGCAAGACCUUGUACAUGUCUGUCACCAUCUCGACACCAUCUUGACACCAUCUUGACACCAUCUUGACACCAUUGUUCAAUACUGAAGCCUUGUCCUUGUCAUCAACCUUCUUCUGUCUUUAGAAUUACAAAGAGGGACAUCAUCAGAUGCUUUGAUGUGGAAGUAAUUCUGUAGGUUUUGAGAACCAAGUUCAUAUGUUACAGUCAAUGUGUAAAAUCAGUCGUGUGAAAUGGCUGAAAUUUUAGCUUCGGCAAUUCACAAGACGCCUAAAUAAUUCAGUCGUUUUACAAAUUGACUAAAAAUUCUGUCCAUAUAAUUUAUUAUGAUAACGAAUUCCAAAGAUUUUGAUGUUGAAGUUCAUCACCCAGUGAAUAUGACAGCGUAAAGAGAAAACGGAAGUCAGUGUAUAUUAGUUUUCAUUGUUCCCUUAUUAGUCUCCAUGGUUAUAUAAUGAGAACAUCUUUCCCUUGAGGUGGUGGUGGGGUGGCCCAGUGGUUCAAGUGGUGGCCCAUCAUGCUGAAGCCCUGGGUUUGAUUCCCUACAUGGCUACAGUGUGGGUACUCCAUACUCUCUGCCCCUACAGUCAUACGGUUGAGGUGGUGGUAGGGUAGCCCAGUGGUUCAAGUGGUGGCCCAUCAUGCUGAAGCCCUGGGUUUGAUUCCCUACAUGGCUACAGUGUGGGUACUCCUUACUCUCUUCCCCUAUAGUCUUACGCCCGAAAUAUUCCUAAAAAAGAUAUUAGACUGCAAUCAGUCAGCACUGACCCCAUAAAGAUUCCCGAUGACAGUUUAGAUCCCUAAUCCCAAAGAACCGACGAAAUGAGGAUUGGGUGGUCACAGUGUAUGACUGUCUGAUUCUGUGCACGACAAUAAGGUUGUUGUUUAUGCUGUCAACCACCGUUGUGCCCACCCUGUAUUAUCCACACAACAUGUUGUGACUGUACUAUUGGUGUUCACGACUCAAGAACAUACCUCACACAGGACAUAGUAGGCAGGUGACUGCAUGGCCAACAUUUAACCCCACACUGACCAGAUGACAUUCUCCAGCCCAUAGGCGGAACAUUCUGUUAGAAGAGCUAGAAAUAAUUCCCUUGCUAAUCCUGUCAGGAAUCCUCCCCCACAAGACUAAGUCCUCCCUCCUCCGCCCUAGACUCUCCCCCUGCAUGGAGUGUUGCUGCUGGCAUGAACAAUCCGAUGUUUUACUUUCCGAUCAGAUUAAUGUCUCUCCACCUUGAGUUGAUUCUGUUGGGUUAUUGAUGUGUGUAACUGUGUAACGUCUCCGAUAACAUCAUGUGUGGUGCUGUUGAAGAUUUAAGCUUGUCCUACAUCUAAUUACCAGUUUGAAUAAUGAUAAUGAAUUUAUUGAACCCUUUCAUCACUUUAAUUUCUGCAGUUUAACUUAACAUCUACCUGAACGCCACUAUCACCCAAUCAUAAAUUUAAGUUUGAUAAAUUAACAGUCAGUAAAGAUAUUUAAGUGACAAUUUAGUUUGUGUUACUUGAACCCAGAUUUGUGAUGGAAUUUGAGAUAAAGUUUCUGAAAAAAAUUGAAAAUAAGUUGAAACAUUAUAAAUUUUAUGAUAAUAAAAUCUUGUCUCACAUUCCAACCACUGGGUUUGUAUUUGAUUCCCAACAUGCCUGUGAUCUCCAUGUUGUUGUAGUGUUGUUUCAGUGUUGUUCAAUCGUUG